rnacentral:lncRNA from 1 species
CUUUUGCUCGAGCUCCACUUCCUCAAGGUUGCAAACACAAUUCCUAAAUACUAGGCUAAAUUACUCUCAUCGUCCCUAGACUUUGGGCCGAUAUCAGUAAAGUCUCUAAUCUUUAAUUUGUAACAAUAAACCGUCUAAAUUUUCAAUUUCAGUAUCGCAAAACGUAUCAUUUUUUGGCAAAAAAAUUACCAGAAUGAUGAUGUGGCAUGCCACGGGUAAAUGAAUUAGAAAUAAAUUAAAUAAAAAUUAAUGGAUUAAAUUAUAAUUUUUAUUUAUUUCUAAAAAUUAAUAAAAAAUUAACAAAAAGAUCAUCUCCUUCAUUUUUUUUCUCUCUCCUCACUGUUCUUUCUUUUCCCUCCGCUAAUUUUUAUUUUCUGAUCAAAUCAAGUGGCGCUACCACCAUAGAAGCGAAGCCCAUGUAACAGACAGUCUAUCUAUACCGUUAUUGAAGAGUACCAGAACUGGACGAGUGAAAAAUCAGCAUUCAAAGCUUAAGAGUGUUGCUGCUUUCUUCUUCAAAUUCACCGCUUUCCACCACCGGUCGAUGCUGCCACUUUCAACAAUGAGUUUGCCUACCUCAACUUAGUGUCCCCCGAAAAUUAUAAUGUUUAUCUAGCCAUCCUCCACCUUCUACCAUUGAUGAGAGAGAGAGAAAGCUGGUAAGGAACCCCCGAAAGGGCUACCGUCCGAUGGGUACACGAAAGUGAUGAAGUUGCUUUGACUACAGAACCAUGCCUGUCUGUUGGAGCGAAUUGGGUGAUCGGGCUGAGGACUGCCCCCUCUUCCCUUCACUCUACUUUCCCU